rnacentral:rRNA from 1 species
CCAACGGAGAGUUUGAUCCUGGCUCAGGACGAACGCUGGCGGCGUGCUUAAUACAUGCAAGUCAUAGGGGCUAAUUUCCUUCGGGAGAUUGGUCACUGGCGCACGGGUGCGUAACGCGUAAGUUAUCUGCCCUUGGGUCUGGCAUAACGUCGGGAAACCGGCGCUAAUUCCAGAUG